UUCCCAGCACGUAGCAAAAAAACAGCCAGCGAGGCUCCCCUCGAUCUAUGUAUUCUAUCCUACGAUCUCUCAAAGACGCCCCAGCCCCCAAUACGAGCCGCCGCCGAGAUCUAAGACGAGCCGCCGCCGAGAUACGAGUCGAUCCGCCGCCCCCGAGGACCAAGUGGAGCCGCCGCCGGCGCUGGCCAGGCUCCCCACGAUGUGCACGCCGGGGCGCCGCUCUUGCUCCCGCAGCCGAGGAUAGCAGCAGCGGCAGAGCCCCGCCACCGGCGAGCUCUCUCUGGCGGAGGAGGGCGGGGGCGAGCUCGCCGUCUCCCUCGCGCUCAACAAUCUCCUCUCCCACGCCGUCGCCCGCUUCACGGCCUACUUCAGCCUCAUGCCGCCAUGCCUCCAUUGCUCCCGCAUCGACCGGCUCUUCGGCGCAGAGGACGUCCAUCAAGCGGCGGGCGAGAUCUCCGGGAUGGGCCACUGCCUCCACCAUCACCGCCUCUUUGUUGUCGCCGCCGCCGACAUGUGCGAGGGAUGCCUCUCUUCUUCAAAGAACGAGAUGAAUGAAGGAUGCAGAGGAGACAUGCUCCAUGGCGUGUUCCUGUUGUAAUGCUCUCGACCUCUCGUACAGGGCACACCUCCGAGCUAGCCGAUGCUUAGUAUACCAGUGUUCUGCUGCAUCCGGUGCGACCUCAAAGAAUACCUUCGUCUAGCUGACUGUUGAGCACCUUAGGGACAACGAGGUGCAGUGCCUGGGGUGUAAGCAGUUCAACUACACGAUGAAGUGAGUGAAGGGGUUAAGACGGUUGCGUUGUGCGUGCGCUGCUUGCUUGCUGGUGAGUGUUGCCUCUGUGACUAGGUGUUCUUUGUUGUCUAUGCCCUCUGUAGUUUAAGGUGUUUGUUCUUUUAUGCAAUGCUCGCUCGCCCAAAGUAUGUAUGAUCUUUACCAUAGUACAUUAGCUAGCUAUAGGAGAUGACAUCUUUGUGCUUUUCUUCUUCGUGAACACGCAUAUGGAUGUUUGUGCAUUGGAACGGCAUGUCUUUCGGAUCAACUGCUCCCUGCUCCGACUUCGCCUUUUAAUUUGACUGAAUAUCUACUUACGCUCUCCAAGAUUGUUCCUGUGAGUUUCUUUAAAACCUAUUUGUGCACCCAGCUAGAUCAUACAGUUGUUAUUGUAUGGAGUUUUUUAUUGGGUCUGUUUAUCUCAGGGCUCUGACGCGCCGAUUUCGUUUAGACAAUUUUUAGAGCCAGUAUUUACUCCAGGGAAUACUCUUUAUAUUGUUCAAUCUCGGUGUAGGUCUAAUUUCUCGGAAACAGUUUCAGUCAAUGCUGGGCAGAAACCUCUUAAACUCAUUAAGUAGCGUUCUUCCUUUGUUGAAAUCUCAUUUCAUUGACGAUGUAUUGCGCUGCGUGUUGGUUAAGAUGAAGCAAGGAGAAAACCAUUGACGAUGUAUUGUGAUGCAUGUUUCAGUCAACUUGUUGGACAACUGUACACGUAUGUGUUUUUUCAAGCCCACUGAUUUCAGCCUCUCCGUCUCCUUCAAGCCGGUGAGUAAUUAAUUGGUUAACUGGACAUACUAUUUGAGAAGGGACAAGGGAAGAAACCUCAACUAUUUCCCUUAGUUCAUGUUGUCUCUACAAUUUACAAUUGUAUAUGUAGUGCUACCUGAAUUAAAUUCUGGCAACUAAGCUCAUGCAGUGCUUAAGACUAAAUGGGAUAUAAUGGAAACGCAGAUGAGAAGUUCAGGUAUAUUCCUGGGAGUGCCUAAUAUGUGGCUCCAGAGGUGCUGAAGCGGAGAUAUGGAGCCGAUAAUUGCAUAUGGAGUGCUGGAGUUAUACUCUACAUUCU